rnacentral:rRNA from 1 species
GACGAACGCUGGCGGCGUGCUUAACACAUGCAAGUCGAACGAAGAGCGACGGAAGCUUGCUUCUAUCAAUCUUAGUGGCGAACGGGUGAGUAACGCGUAAUCAACCUGCCCUUCAGAGGGGGACAACAGUUGGAAACGACUGCUAAUACCGCAUACGAUCUAACCUCGGCAUCGAGGAUAGAUGAAAGGUGGCCUCUACAUGUAAGCUAUCACUGAAGGAGGGGAGUGCGUCUGAUUAGCUAGUUGGAGGGGUAACGGCCCACCAAGGCGAUGAUCAGUAGCCGGUCUGAGAGGAUGAACGGCCACAUUGGGACUGAGACACGGCCCAGACUUCUACGGGAGGCAGCAGUGGGGAAUCUUCCGCAAUGGACGAAAGUCUGACGGAGCAACGCCGCGGGAGGGAUGACGGCCUUCGGGUUGUAAAGCUCGGUUAAUCGGGACGAAAGGCCUUCUUGCGAAUAGUGAGAAGGAUUGACGGUACCGGAAGAGAAAGCCACGGCUAACUACGUG